AACGAACGCUGGCGGCAGGCCUAACACAUGCAAGUCGAGCGAGGACUUCGGUUCUAGCGGCGGACGGGUGAGUAACGCGUGGGAAUGUGCCCUUCUCUACGGAAUAGCCCUGGGAAACUGGGAGUAAUACCGUAUACGCCCUUUUGGGGAAAGAUUUAUCGGAGAAGGAUCAGCCCGCGUUGGAUUAGGUAGUUGGUGGGGUAAUGGCCUACCAAGCCGACGAUCCAUAGCUGGUUUGAGAGGAUGAUCAGCCACACUGGGACUGAGACACGGCCCAGACUCCUACGGGAGGCAGCAGUGGGGAAUCUUAGACAAUGGGGGCAACCCUGAUCUAGCCAUGCCGCGUGAGUGAUGAAGGCCUUAGGGUUGUAAAGCUCUUUCAGCUGGGAAGAUAAUGACGGUACCAGCAGAAGAAGCCCCGGCUAACUCCGU
rnacentral:rRNA from 1 species